rnacentral:rRNA from 1 species
GACGAACGCUGGCGGCGUGCCUAAUACAUGCAAGUUGAGCGAUGAAGAUUGGUGCUUGCCCCAAUUUGAAGAGCAGCGAACGGGUGAGUAACGCGUGGGGAAUCUGCCUUUGAGCGGGGGACAACAUUUGGAAACGAAUGCUAAUACCGCAUAACAACUUUAAACAUAAGUUUUAAGUUUGAAAGAUGCAAUUGCAUCACUCAAAGAUGAUCCCGCGUUGUAUUAGCUAGUUGGUGAGGUAAAGGCUCACCAAGGCGAUGAUACAUAGCCGACCUGAGAGGGGGAUCGGCCACAUUGGGACUGAGACACGGCCCAAACUCCUACGGGAGGCAGCAGUAGGGAAUCUUCGGCAAUGGACGAAAGUCUGACCGAGCAACGCCGCGUGAGUGAAGAAGGUUUUCGGAUCGUAAAACUCUGUUGGUAGAGAAGAACGUUGGUGAGAGUGGAAAGCUCAUCAAGUGACGGUAACUACCCAGAAAGGGACGGCUAACUACGUG